rnacentral:rRNA from 1 species
CCUACGGGAGGCUGCAGUAGGGAAUAUUGCUCAAUGGGGGAAACCCUGAAGCAGCAACGCCGCGUGGAGGAUGAAGGUUUUCGGAUUGUAAACUCCUUUUGUUAGAGAAGAUAAUGACGGUAUCUAACGAAUAAGCACCGGCUAACUCCGUGCCAGCAGCCGCGGUAAUACGGAGGGUGCAAGCGUUACUCGGAAUCACUGGGCGAAAAGAGCGCGGAGGCGGGAUAGCAAGUCAGAUGUGAAAUCAUAUGGCUAAACCAUAGAACUGCAUUUGAAACGGUUAUUCUAGAGUAUGGGAGAGGUAGGUGGAAUUCUGGGGGUAGGGGUAAAAUCCGUAGAGAUCAAGAGGAAUACUCAUGGCGAAGCGACCUGCUAGAACAUAACUGACGCUGAUGCGCGAAAGCGUGGGGAGCAAACAGGAUUAGAUACCCGAGUAGUC